UAAGGAAUAUUGGACAAUGGACGAAAGUCUGAUCCAGCCAUGCCGCGUGCAGGAUGACUGCCCUAUGGGUUGUAAACUGCUUUUAUACAGGAAGAAACACUCCGACGUGUCGGAGCUUGACGGUACUGUAAGAAUAAGGAUCGGCUAACUCCGUGCCAGCAGCCGCGGUAAUACGGAGGAUCCAAGCGUUAUCCGGAAUCAUUGGGUUUAAAGGGUCCGCAGGCGGUCUUUUAAGUCAGGGGUGAAAGCCUACAGCUCAACUGUAGAACGGCCUUUGAUACUGAAAGACUUGAGUUAUUGUGAAGUGGUUAGAAUGUGUGGUGUAGCGGUGAAAUGCAUAGAUAUCACACAGAAUACCGAUUGCGAAGGCAGAUCACUAACAAUAUACUGACGCUCAGGGACGAAAGCGUGGGUAGCGAACAGG
rnacentral:rRNA from 1 species